UACGAAGGGGGCUAGCGUUGCUCGGAUUGACUGGGCGUAAAGGGCGCGUAGGCGGUUCGUACAGUCAGACGUGAAAUUCCUGGGCUCAACCUGGGGGCUGCGUUUGAUACGUGCGGACUUGAGUGCGGAAGAGGGUCGUGGAAUUCCCAGUGUAGAGGUGAAAUUCGUAGAUAUUGGGAAGAACACCGGUGGCGAAGGCGGCGACCUGGGACAAUACUGACGCUGAGGUGCGAAAGCGUGGGGAGCAAACAGG
rnacentral:rRNA from 1 species